rnacentral:rRNA from 1 species
UGGGGAAUUUUUGGGACAAUGGGCGAAAGCCUGAUCCCAGCAAUGCCGCGUGUGUGAAGAAGGCCUUCGGGUUGUAAAGCACUUUUGUCCGGAAAGAAAUCCUUGGCUCUAAUACAGUCGGGGGAUGACGGUACCGGAAGAAUAAGCACCGGCUAACUACGUGCCAGCAGCCGCGGUAAUACGUAGGGUGCAAGCGUUAAUCGGAAUUACUGGGCGUAAAGCGUGCGCAGGCGGUUUGCUAAGACCGAUGUGAAAUCCCCGGGCUCAACCUGGGAACUGCAUUUGGUGACUGGCAGGCUAGAGUAUGGCAGAGGGGGGUAGAAUUUCCACGUGUAGCAGUGAAAUGCGUAGAGAUGUGGAGGAAUACCGAUGGCGAAGGCAGCCCCCCUGGGGCCAAUACUGACGCUCAUGCACGAAAGCGUGGGGAGCAAACAGGAUUAGAUACCCUGGUAGUCCACGCCCUAAACGAUGUCAACUAGUUGUUGGGGGACUUCAUUUUCCUUAGGUAACGUAGCUAACGCGUGAAGUUGACCGCCUGGGGGAGUACGGUCG